rnacentral:rRNA from 1 species
CUACGGGUCGCUGCAGUGAGGAAUAUUGGGCAAUGGGCGCAAGCCUGACCCAGCCAUGCCGCGUGAAGGAUGAAUGCCCUACGGGUUGUAAACUUCUUUUGUACGGGACGAAACUUCCGAUCGUGAUCGGAACUGACUGUACCGUUCGAAUAAGCAUCGGCUAACUCCGUGCCAGCAGCCGCGGUAAUACGGAGGAUGCAAGCGUUAUCCGGAUUCAUUGGGUUUAAAGGGUGCGUAGGCGGAAUAGUAAGUCAGUGGUGAAAGCCUGCGGCUUAACCGUAGAAGUGCCAUUGAUAGUGUGAUUCUUGAUUAUAGUUGAGGUGGGCGGAAGGUGUAAUGUAGCGGUGAAAUGCUUAGAUAUUACACAGAACACCAAUUGCGAAGGCAGCUCACAAAACUAUCACUGACGCUGGGGCACGAAAGCGUGGGGAGCAAACAGGAUUAGAUACCCCCGUAGUC